AUGCAUUAUGUCGUGCAACCACCAUUGUGGAAGGCUCCGUUGCCCCUGAAAAUCAAGUUCUUCGUGUGGCAAUUGUUGUGUGACCGCCUCCCCUCUGGGACGGAGGUGCUUAAGCGACGCGGGCCGGGCGAUGGCUUAUGCCCCCUUUGUGCUAUCCUGGAGACUGGGACCCACAUUUUAUUCUUGUACACGAUUGUGCGUGCCCUCUGGAGUUUCUCCCUCGAGACUCUGGGGUCCGACUGGGAGGCCAUAGACUUUGCGGAGUUCAUUCAGACGAGAGCUACCCAGAUAGGGCAGAACCGCCGCCUGUUCUGGCUUAUAUUUGCGGCAAUGUCAUGGACCUUAUGGACGACAUGUAAUAAAAUGGUGAUUGAGCGGGUCUUCCUGAGGCAGGCCUCUGAUCCAUUCCUUAACUUCCUUACUUUCUUGCAGCAUUGGCACCCGCUUUCUAGGCAGCGGGACCGUGGUCGGCUUGGACUCAUGCUGGAUGCGCUUCUGGCUUCCGCGUGCCGCCUCUCCUCUUCGUAA
rnacentral:rRNA from 1 species